rnacentral:rRNA from 1 species
AUGGGGGGACCAUCCUCCAAGGCUAAAUACUCCUGACUGACCGAUAGUGAACCAGUACCGUGAGGGAAAGGCGAAAAGAACCCCUGUGAGGGGAGUGAAAUAGAACCUGAAACCGUGUACGUACAAGCAGUGGGAGCCUCCUUUGUGGGGUGACUGCGUACCUUUUGUAUAAUGGGUCAGCGACUUACUUUUAGUAGCAAGGUUAACCGAAUAGGGGAGCCGUAGGGAAACCGAGUCUUAACUGGGCGAAUAAGUUGCUAGGAGUAGACCCGAAACCGAGUGAUCUAGCCAUGGGCAGGUUGAAGAUUGAGUAACAUCAAUUGGAGGACCGAACCGACUAAUGUUGAAAAAUUAGCGGAUGACUUGUGGCUAGGGGUGAAAGGCCAAUCAAACUCGGAGAUAGCUGGUUCUCCCCGAAAUCUAUUUAGGUAGAGCCUCGGACGAAUACUACUGGGGGUAGAGCACUGUUAAGGCUAGGGGGUCAUCCCGACUUACCAACCCUUUGCAAACUCCGAAUACCAGUAAGUACUAUCCGGGAGACACACGGCGGGUGCUAACGUCCGUCGUGAAGAGGGAAACAACCCAGACCGCCAGCUAAGGUCCCAAAGUUAUCGCUAAGUGGGAAACGAUGUGGGAAGGCUCAGACAGCCAGGAUGUUGGCUUAGAAGCAGCCAUCAUUUAAAGAAAGCGUAAUAGCUCACUGGUCGAGUCGGCCUGCGCGGAAGAUGUAACGGGGCUAAGCGAUACACCGAAGCUGCGGCAUCAACUCUUCGGAGUUGUUGGGUAGGGGAGCGUUCUGUAAGCCGUUGAAGGUGAACUGUAAGGUUUGCUGGAGGUAUCAGAAGUGCGAAUGCUGACAUGAGUAACGAUAAAGGGGGUGAAAAACCUCCUCGCCGGAAGACCAAGGGUUCCUGUCCAACGUUAAUCGGGGCAGGGUAAGUCGACCCCUAAGGCGAGGCCGAAAGGCGUAGUCGAUGGGAAACGGGUUAAUAUUCCCGUACUUCUUACAAUUGCGAUGGGGGGACGGAGAAGGCUAGGUGGGCCUCGCGACGGUUGUCGAGGUUCAAGUGCGUAGGCAGGGGGAUUAGGCAAAUCCGGUUCCCUAUAUGCUGAGACACGAUGUCGAGCUACUACGGUAGUGAAGUCAUUGAUGCCAUGCUUCCGGGAAAAGCCUCUAAGCUUCAGAUUGUAAGGAAUCGUACCCCAAACCGACACAGGUGGUCGGGUAGAGAAUACCAAGGCGCUUGAGAGAACUCGGGUGAAGGAACUAGGCAAAAUGGUACCGUAACUUCGGGAGAAGGUACGCUGCCUCCGGUGAAGUCCCUUGCGGAUGGAGCUAGAGGCAGUCGCAGAUACCAGGUGGCUGCAACUGUUUAUUAAAAACAUAGCACUGUGCAAAAUCGAAAGAUGACGUAUACGGUGUGACGCCUGCCCGGUGCCGGAAGGUUAAUUGAUGGGGUUAUCUUCGGAGAAGCUCUUGAUCGAAGCCCCGGUAAACGGCGGCCGUAACUAUAACGGUCCUAAGGUAGCGAAAUUCCUUGUCGGGUAAGUUCCGACCUGCACGAAUGGCGUAAUGAUGGCCACGCUGUCUCCACCCGAGACUCAGUGAAAUUGAAAUCGCAGUGAAGAUGCUGUGUACCCGCGGCUAGACGGAAAGACCCCGUGAACCUUUACUACAGCUUGGCACUGAACAUUGACCCUACAUGUGUAGGAUAGGUGGGAGCCUUUGAAGCAUCGUCGCUAGAUGGUGUGGAGGCAAUCUUGAAAUACCACCCUUGUAUGCUUGAUGUUCUAACGU